AGCAAGUAAGUAUAGCCGGGGCAGCAGGAGUUCAGGCCUUGGGAGAAAAAUCUUAAGAUAUGUAUUUGGGGGUAGAAAUGACCCCCCAAAGGGAAAGAAAGGUGGCCUCAGGAUACUCAGCAGAGCAGGGGCUGAUUGCAUACUGGGUGUGGUGCUGAACCCCGGGAGUCCUGAACUAAACAGAAUAUACACUGCCCUUCAAAGCCUGGAGGUCCAGGGGAGGAGAGUUAUGAGAGUGGUGACUACCCCAACUUCCUAGGAAGUUUCCUCUUGAUACUGCUGCAGUUUCAUGGUACAGGGGCUUCAAGUGUCAUCAGACAUCAGGGCCACUGCACGCCAUGACGCACGAGAAAAUGGACACUAUGGAGACCCUUAGACCGUAUCAGGAAUGUCGGACUCAUCUGGCCACAGAGGUUUGAGGUGGUAGACAUUGUGAAGCCACAGAAUACAACUGGAGGCAAAGCACAGCUCAUGGUUUCUGGUGUUGGACCAGAAGGAAGGCUGGACUGGAAACCAGGGACCUGUGCCAGUGCCAGCCAAGGACCUGUGCCAGUGCCAGCCAAGGACCUGUGCCAGUGCCAGCCAAGGACCUGUGCCAGUGCCAGCCAAGGACCUGUGCCAGUGCCAGCCAAGGACCUGUGCCAGUGCCAGCCAAGGACCUGUGCCAGUGCCAGCCAAGGACCUGUGCCAGUGCCAGCCAAGGACCUGUGCCAGUGCCAGCCAAGGACCUGUGCCAGUGCCAGCCAAGGACCUGUGCCAGUGCCAGCCAAGGACCUGUGCCAGUGCCAGCCAAGGACCUGUGCCAGUGCCAGCCAAGGACCUGUGCCAGUGCCAGCCAAGGACCUGUGCCAGUGCCAGCCAAGGACCUGUGCCAGUGCCAGCCAAGGACCUGUGCCAGUGCCAGCCAAGGACCUGUGCCAGUGCCAGCCAAGGACCUGUGCCAGUGCCAGCCAAGGACCUGUGCCAGUGCCAGCCAAGGACCUGUGCCAGUGCCAGCCAAGGACCUGUGCCAGUGCCAGCCAAGGACCUGUGCCAGUGCCAGCGGUGUUUGGCGCCAUCUGUGACUUGAGUUCCCUUGCUUAACUUUCUACAGCAAAGUAUUCGGGAAAUUCAAGGAAAAAAAGUGUAUGCAUAUAUACACAUAUAAAAUAUUGUAUUUUAAUAUCUAAUAUAAAUGAUACUUAUAACUUA
rnacentral:lncRNA from 1 species